ensembl:lncRNA
AUGAUACUGGAUUUGAAUAUUAAAGUGACUGCAUUUACCAGCUGCUUUCUGUCUUUAAUUUUAAUCUAUAAAAACAGAAAAUCAUUCGUCUUGGCUGCUUUUUUUGUAUGUAUUCAUGUAUUUAUUAUUAUUAUUAUUUUUUUUUUUUUUUGCUCUAACAAGAACGAACAAAUCAAGAACAAGGUUAUUUCAAAAUACAUAAUAGCUUGGCGAAUAUAAACGAAAACAGCCACGUGAAUAUAAACUGUUGAGAAAUAAAUCUGAAGUGGAUCAUGAUACUGGAUUUGAAUAUUAAAGUGACUGCAUUUACCAGCUGCUUUCUGUCUUCAAUUUUUAAUCUAUAAAAAAACAGAAAAAUCAUUCUUCUUGGCUGCUUUUUUUUUUUUUGUAUGUAUGUAUUCAUGUAUUUAUUAUUAUUAUUAUUAUUAUUAUUAUUAUUUUGCUCUAACAAAAAUUUAUCUAUAUUUAACUAAAUCGAUGACGUUAUUUUACAUUUGAUUUCUGCAUCCAAACACUUAUAAACUUAAAACAUGCACUAUUAAACUAUUGUUAGCAAUUUCUUUAUCGUCCAAUUUAACUGGUGUACACACUUUUAUUUUCAUAAUAAAUUAGUUUUUUAGAUUAUAGACAGUUACAGUGGUCUAUAAUAAAUAUUAACAGGUUUUGUUCAAGCUGCUUAAAAUGUUUGAAGUAGGCUAAUUUUUUUAAAUGUAAAUCCUAAAAAAAAUAAAAUAAAUAAAAAUAAAUAAAACAAACAAAACAAAAAAAAAUGUAGCAACUCAUAGUAAUCAUUCAACACUGCUUAAAAAUGUAAAUUGAAAAUUAAACUCAUGAUUAAGCAUGAAAUAAGAUACAGAAUCAGUAAAUAAGAUUUUAAUGUGGGUAUAUUAUCAAUAAACUAAUCAUUAAAUAUUUAUAAUCAUUCAAAAAAUAUUGGCCCCUUUCAUCAUGUUGUUCAAAAACGAAGGCCACAAUGCUAAUGUUGUCCACUCGAUGGCGCCACAGGAUAGCAAAUACUUCAAGAUCUGUUCAAAGACUUGAAAAUGUUUCAUUUAUGUGCAUUAAUAAAAAAUGCAUAAACAUUCAUUCUUUUUUCAUAAACUUUAAUAAAGCCCAUUAUUGUAAUUAUGCAAAAGCUAUCAGCUCCUAAAUACCAUUACUUUUUGUUAGUUUAAUUGUAUUGACAACAUAUUUCUCAAGUUAUCACACAUUACUGAAAAAGUGUAGAAGGGACACUAUAUUAGUUAUCUAUUUUCAUGUUGUGCAUAUAAUAAUACUCACAUAAAGACUCAUGAUUUACUUGAAAAGAGACACGUUCAUUGUGUAACUGCAUCAUCUACACAAACCAAUGUGCUUGGACCCCUAAUAAUCACCUUGACUUAAACCACAUUGUUUCAGUUGCCUUCUGUGUCUUUGCCCACAACGCUUCAGUGACUGGAAUGUGAAAUAGCAAACAGGGGAAAAAAUAAAAGGCAUGACUUUUUUUGCAUCGAGCUAGCCAACUCUAUUACAGAUGUUCCACAGCCAAAACUUUUAUUAGAAUAGAAAAUAGCGAGGGUUCGAAUAAAUAGUUUAUUAAUCAUUUAAUUUCACUUUCUUAAUGAAUAUUGUUCUGUGUAUGGGAUUUCAAAGUCUUGAUGCUUCGGAUUAACCCGUUAAUUGCCGUAUCCCUUAAAACCUGACUUCCAGAGGGUUACUGUAAAUGCAUGUGCCCGCUGGGCACAGUUUACCUGAUGCCACCGGGGUGGCGUUUGCGCUGAUGGCUUGAGCCCGCCAUUGCUGCUUGCAGCUAUAUUUAUUAUUAUUAUUUUUUUUUUCCAACGUCUCGGGGGCUUUUGGGGCCCUUAACAUACUCGAAAACUCUUGAAAAUUGGCACACACAUUGGAACCUGCGGCCAUUAGGGCCGGGCAGAGACUGAUACAUGGGCGUGGCACAGGGGCUCUACAGCGCCCCCUGGAAUAUGGAGGGCCAUAUAUCAUACAUACUUGCACGUAGACGUAUGAAACUCGGUACACAUAUAGAUCUCAUCAAGCCAAACAACUUUCGUACUGCAUGUCAUAGGCUCCGCCCAACAGGAAGUUGGCUAUUUAGGGUUUAGUAUUCUUAUUUUUCGUCAAAGUUGUGGGGGGCUUUUGGGGCCCUUAACAUGCUCAAAAACUCUUGAAAAUUUGCACACACCUUAGAAUCUGUGGCCAUUAGGAGGCUGCAGAGGCUGAGACCCGGGCGUGGCACAGGGGCUCUAUGGCGCCCCCUGGAACACAGUCAGAAAUGUUGAUGUAUAGUUCAAACAUACUUGCACGUAUUCAUAUGAAACUCAGUACACAUAUAGAUCUCAUUGUGCCGAACAACUUUCGUAUUGCAUGUCAUAGGCUCCGCCCAACAGGAAGUCAGCUAUUUUGUGCUAUGUAAAAAAAGUGCAUGCUCUGGAAUUUGAUAUACUUGUCAUAGGUUUUUUUACCCGAUUGCCACCAA